rnacentral:rRNA from 1 species
UACGGAGGUCCCGAGCGUUGUUCGGAUUCAUUGGGCGUAAAGGGUGCGUAGGCGGCGGGGCAAGUCUGAUGUGAAAUCCCGGGGCUCAACCCCGGAACUGCAUUGGAUACUGCCUUGCUUGAGUACUGGAGAGGGAACUGGAAUUUACGGUGUAGCAGUGAAAUGCGUAGAGAUCGUAAGGAAGGCCAGUGGCGAAGGCGAGUUCCUGGACAGUGACUGACGCUGAGGCACGAAGGCCAGGGGAGCAAACGGG